UACGAAGGGGGCUAGCGUUGCUCGGAAUCACUGGGCGUAAAGCGCACGUAGGCGGAUCUUUAAGUCAGGGGUGAAAUCCCAAGGCUCAACCUUGGAACUGCCUUUGAUACUGAGAAGCUUGAGUCCGGGAGAGGUGAGUGGAACUGCGAGUGUAGAGGUGAAAUUCGUAGAUAUUCGCAAGAACACCAGUGGCGAAGGCGGCUCACUGGCCCGGUACUGACGCUGAGGUGCGAAAGCGUGGGGAGCAAACAGGG
rnacentral:rRNA from 1 species